rnacentral:rRNA from 1 species
AACAUCUAAGUACCCCGAGGAAAAGAAAUCAACCGAGAUUCCCCCAGUAGCGGCGAGCGAACGGGGAGCAGCCCAGAGCCUGAAUCAGUGUGUGUGUUAGUGGAAGCGUCUGGAAAGGCGCGCGAUACAGGGUGACAGCCCCGUACACAAAAAUGCACAUGCUGUGAGCUCGAUGAGUAGGGCGGGACACGUGGUAUCCUGUCUGAAUAUGGGGGGACCAUCCUCCAAGGCUAAAUACUCCUGACUGACCGAUAGUGAACCAGUACCGUGAGGGAAAGGCGAAAAGAACCCCGGCGAGGGGAGUGAAAAAGAACCUGAAACCGUGUACGUACAAGCAGUGGGAGCACGCUUAGGCGUGUGACUGCGUACCUUUUGUAUAAUGGGUCAGCGACUUAUAUUCUGUAGCAAGGUUAACCGAAUAGGGGAGCCGAAGGGAAACCGAGUCUUAACUGGGCGUUAAGUUGCAGGGUAUAGACCCGAAACCCGGUGAUCUAGCCAUGGGCAGGUUGAAGGUUGGGUAACACUAACUGGAGGACCGAACCGACUAAUGUUGAAAAAUUAGCGGAUGACUUGUGGCUGGGGGUGAAAGGCCAAUCAAACCGGGAGAUAGCUGGUUCUCCCCGAAAGCUAUUUAGGUAGCGCCUCGUGAACUCAUCUCCGGGGGUAGAGCACUGUUUCGGCAAGGGGGUCAUCCCGACUUACCAACCCGAUGCAAACUGCGAAUACCGGAGAAUGUUAUCACGGGAGACACACGGCGGGUGCUAACGUCCGUCGUGAAGAGGGAAACAACCCAGACCGCCAGCUAAGGUCCCAAAGUCAUGGUUAAGUGGGAAACGAUGUGGGAAGGCCCAGACAGCCAGGAUGUUGGCUUAGAAGCAGCCAUCAUUUAAAGAAAGCGUAAUAGCUCACUGGUCGAGUCGGCCUGCGCGGAAGAUGUAACGGGGCUAAACCAUGCACCGAAGCUGCGGCAGCGACGCUGAUGCGUUGUUGGGUAGGGGAGCGUUCUGUAAGCCUGCGAAGGUGUACUGUGAGGUAUGCUGGAGGUAUCAGAAGUGCGAAUGCUGACAUAAGUAACGAUAAAGCGGGUGAAAAGCCCGCUCGCCGGAAGACCAAGGGUUCCUGUCCAACGUUAAUCGGGGCAGGGUGAGUCGACCCCUAAGGCGAGGCCGAAAGGCGUAGUCGAUGGGAAACAGGUUAAUAUUCCUGUACUUGGUGUUACUGCGAAGGGGGGACGGAGAAGGCUAUGUUGGCCGGGCGACGGUUGUCCCGGUUUAAGCGUGUAGGCUGGUUUUCCAGGCAAAUCCGGAAAAUCAAGGCUGAGGCGUGAUGACGAGGCACUACGGUGCUGAAGCAACAAAUGCCCUGCUUCCAGGAAAAGCCUCUAAGCAUCAGGUAACAUCAAAUCGUACCCCAAACCGACACAGGUGGUCAGGUAGAGAAUACCAAGGCGCUUGAGAGAACUCGUGGUGAAGGAACUAGGCAAAAUGGUGCCGUAACUUCGGGAGAAGGCACGCUGAUAUGUAGGUGAAGCGACUUGCUCGUGGAGCUGAAAUCAGUCGAAGAUACCAGCUGGCUGCAACUGUUUAUUAAAAACACAGCACUGUGCAAACACGAAAGUGGACGUAUACGGUGUGACGCCUGCCCGGUGCCGGAAGGUUAAUUGAUGGGGUUAGCGCAAGCGAAGCUCUUGAUCGAAGCCCCGGUAAACGGCGGCCGUAACUAUAACGGUCCUAAGGUAGCGAAAUUCCUUGUCGGGUAAGUUCCGACCUGCACGAAUGGCGUAAUGAUGGCCAGGCUGUCUCCACCCGAGACUCAGUGAAAUUGAACUCGCUGUGAAGAUGCAGUGUACCCGCGGCAAGACGGAAAGACCCCGUGAACCUUUACUAUAGCUUGACACUGAACAUUGAGCCUUGAUGUGUAGGAUAGGUGGGAGGCUUUGAAGUGUGGACGCCAGUCUGCAUGGAGCCGACCUUGAAAUACCACCCUUUAAUGUUUGAUGUUCUAACGUUGACCCGUAAUCCGGGUUGCGGACAGUGUCUGGUGGGUAGUUUGACUGGGGCGGUCUCCUCCUAAAGAGUAACGGAGGAGCACGAAGGUUGGCUAAUCCUGGUCGGACAUCAGGAGGUUAGUGCAAUGGCAUAAGCCAGCUUGACUGCGAGCGUGACGGCGCGAGCAGGUGCGAAAGC